UGCCAGCAGCCGCGGUAAUACGAACCGGACAAACGUUAUUCGGAAUCACUGGGCUUAAAGAGUACGUAGGCGGCUACGCAAGUUGGGUGUGAAAUCCCACGGCUCAACCGUGGAACUGCGCUCAAAACUGCGUAGCUAGAGGGAGACAGGGGUGAGCGGAACAGAUGGUGGAGCGGUGAAAUGCGUUGAUAUCAUCAAGAACACCAGCGGCGAAAGCGGCUUACUGGGUCUCUUCUGAUGCUGAGACACGAAAGCUAGGGUAGCGAACGGGAUUAGAUA
rnacentral:rRNA from 1 species